rnacentral:rRNA from 1 species
AUGUUCAUGAGGCGCCAGUCGACAAAAACUGCUGCUGCACCGUCAACUGUUCCCACUAACUCUGACGCAAGUGGCCGACCAUCUCCGUCGGUUGCAGAUGUGCAAGCUAGAACAACAGGCAUCCGUACAUCAGGGAGUGAUGAGUUAGUAUCUGCCAGGACAACUGAAAUAUCGCCCACUCUUCUGGCAAUGAAGGAUGCUGCUGUGAGCCAUGCCACCCCAUCAGUAAGCGUUGAAGUGGACGCUCCCGAGACCAACCUAAGCAAGGAAGAUUCCUGCUCAUCUGACACUAAUUCCAAGCACAUGUGUGGUGGCACUCCUGUGUCCACGACAGAAGUGGCUGAGGCGGCAGUUCAUAAUGAUAUGCCAUCUACAGGUGAGAGUCUUGGCACAACAGCUCCAGCUCCUGGCGGUGCAGAUAUUGCUAAGGCGACUGUUUCGCGUGCUGGUCUUCCACCUAGGCGUCGUAGCCCCCGCAAGCAAUCAACAGACAUACCCAACACACCAGCUAUAGCUAGGAGUAGUAGAGAUGAGUCUGGGUAUGUUCCUGCGUCGACACUGUUCCCACCACCUGCCAAAAGCAAUGUUAUGGAGAAACCGGAAGACCGGAGUACAACUGAUGCAGGUGUCAAGCCGGGCACGAGUGAUGGAGGUGAACGUCCAGAGCAGACCGCGCCUUUACCCGUAGUGGAAAUCCCCAGCUUAAAUCUGCGCACUUCCAAGCUCCCAGUCAAUGUUGGUGUCCCCUAUAGCCCAAACAAGAAGAUUGUCAAGAAAGCUACGGCUGAUACCGCUGACAACACGCCCCACCCUACAAAUAAGCCCGACGAUUCUGCAGCAGCCGAUUCAGAUAUGUUUGUUGAUCUUUCACCCUUGGAUUCUGCCCCGUAA